GUAAAUGAUGUUACAGCAACCUUAAUAAUAUGAAAGACUUUAUAUGAAUGUACAUGUACUGAUAUAUGAAAUGGUACAUAUAUAGUAAGUAAAUCAAAAUAUGACAUGGUACAUAUUGUACAUGUACCAAAAAUAUGAAAUGGUAUAUACAUUGGUGUACGUAUAUAUACUCGUCUGAUAAAUGAGAUUUCUUUAACUGGGUUGUUAUUUUGAAAUAUAAUUGUACAUGUAAUUGUGAAUGUACAAUUUAUGGCAGAGAGAGAGAGAGAGAACUUAGAUUUAAAAAAAAAUCAUAUUGUUAUAUUUCCUUUACAUAUUUAUCAGUGAUCAUUUUUUUGAACAUGUUCUAUGGAGCUAGCAAAUAUUCUUCCAGAUGAGGGAAUUUAGAUGUAAUUUUAAUUUUAUUUCACCUGAUAUGUAUGAAUUUUUUUUUUAGAACUUGUAUCGUCAAUGGAUAUAUUUUCUUUAACCAUUGUUUUUUUGGUUUCAAUUUAAGUAUUCCGUCCAUGGUUUCUGUGUUGUAUUUUAUUUAAAUCGAUCUUGUGCUUGACUCUUACAUGUUUAGGUUCAUAAAAGGUCAGCUUACUUUAAUUAUUUAUUACUGUGACUGUGUUUUUAUUGUAUCUGUUUAAAACAUUAAAUUAAAACAUAAGCAAACUU
rnacentral:sRNA from 1 species